UAUCGGAUUGAUACUAAGCCAUGCGAGUCAUUGCAGUAAUGCAAGGCAGACGGCUCAGUAACGCGUAGUCAACCUACCCUAUGGACGGGAAUAACCUCGGGAAACUGAGUAUAAUGCCCGAUAGAACACUAUUCCUGGAAUGGCUUGUGUUCCAAAUGAUUUAUCGCCGUAGGAUGGGACUGCGGCCUAUCAGUUUGUUGGUGAGGUAAUGGCCCACCAAGACUAUUACAGGUACGGGCUCUGAGAGGAGUAGCCCGGAGAUGGGUACUGAGACACGGACCCAGGCCCUAUGGGGCGCAGCAGGCGAGAAAACUUUGCAAUGUGCGAAAGCACGACAAGGUUAAUCCGAGUGGUUUGUGCUAAACGAACCUUUUGACAGUCCUAGAAAUACUGUUGAAUAAGGGGUGGGCAAGUUCUGGUGUCAGCCGCCGCGGUAAAACCAGCACCUCAAGUGGUCAGGAUGAUUAUUGGGCCUAAAGCAUCCGUAGCCGGCUCUGUAAGUUUUCGGUUAAAUCUGUACGCUCAACGUACAGGCUGCCGGGAAUACUGCAGAGCUAGGGAGUGGGAGAGGUAGACGGUACUCGGUAGGAAGGGGUAAAAUCCUUUGAUCUAUUGAUGACCACCUGUGGCGAAGGCGGUCUACCAGAACACGUCCGACGGUGAGGGAUGAAAGCUGGGGGAGCAAACCGGAUUAGAUACCCGGGUAGCCCCAGCUGUAAACUAUGCAAACUCAGUGAUGCAUUGGCUUGUGGCCAAUGCAGUGCUGCAGGGAAGCCGUUAAGUUUGCCGCCUGGGAAGUACGUACGCAAGUAUGAAACUUAAAGGAAUUGGCGGGGGAGCACCACAAGGGGUGAAGCCUGCGGUUCAAUUGGAUUC
rnacentral:rRNA from 1 species